AUGCCAGCGCGCAGCCGUGCCAUCAAGGCGCUCGUCCUCGGCUUCUACCUAUCGGCCCCUCAUCUGAGCUCCAUCGGCAGCGCAGUCCAAGACGUCAUCAGCCGUGGCAAGACCAGAUGCCUCGUCUUUCAGAUAUCCCCGCCGCUCGUGGACAACAACACUGCUCAGCAGCUCGCCGAGUUGGGGCAGCAAUUCAUGUCCUUCUCCCGCGCCUACCAGGUCGCCUUCCGGUGGCUCACGAGGCUACACCUCAGGAGCUUUGCGUUCGGAGACAUCACCGACCUCAUUACCGCUUGCGAUAAGCUCAAGCAUCUCAACAUGAGGUCCUGCAGACUGGUUGACCGGCGCUCUGCGCUAAAGAUUGGCGCACCAUAUUCUGGGCUCCAGGAGCUCGAGUUUACACACUUUGGGUGCAAGAGGAUCGAGCUCAUAUCCGUCCCCAAGCUCAGGACAAUGCUGUGCCAUUCUUGGCGCUCCAAGAACCCUCCAGUUCGCUUCGGCUACGUUCCAGAGCUUUGCAAAGUCAGCCUCACUCGUGAGGCCAAGGUGUGGCAAGCACCAUUCCUGCUGAGCGAGUGCUUGUCAAGGAGUGCAACGAACCUGUCGAAACUCCAUCUCAAUUUUUGCCACCAAAUGAUAUGGAUUAAUCCGGAACAUCCGAAGCAGCUCACGGCUAUAUUCAGAAAUCUAGCCGAUGUGUCCCUUUCUGGCAUCUUCCCUGAGUGUGAUCUGAGCUGGACCCUAUUUAUCCUUGAAGCUGCACCUGCCCUGCAGAAGUUUACAUUAUCUCGAGCUCAACUAUGUGCCAAAACGGCCGUGGACAGUGCCGAGAAGACCAACUUGGUGUGGGAACCAUCCAAGGAUUUCAAGCACUUGAACUUGAAGAAGCUGGCAUUUCAAGGGUUCGAGGAGGAAGACAAGGUGACAAGCUAUAUAAGGCUAGUCAUGGAGCGAGCUGUGGGGUUGAAAAGAAUUGUGCUGCUUGGUGAACUCCCAUGCCAGGACUGCAACGACUGUAAAAGAAAAUGCAUGCUUGGUGAACUCCCAUCCAAGGACUGCAACGACUGUAAAAGAAAAUGCACGGUGGAUAAAGCUAGGAGGCAUCGCGUUAAGGUGCAACUCGCCCAUGGAUCCUGCUCAUCUGUGGAGAUAAUAAUCUGC
rnacentral:rRNA from 1 species